rnacentral:rRNA from 1 species
UAUUACUAAAUAUAGUAGCGUACGGGUGAGUAAUAUAUCGGAAUGUACCUUAAAAUGGGGGAUAACUAAUUGAAAAAUUAGCUAAUACCGCAUAAUAUUUAAUAUUUAUUUUAAUAUUAAAUAAAAGCAGGGGAUUAGAAAUAACCUUGCGUUUUUUGAUCAGCCGAUAUCUGAUUAGUUAGUUGGUAAGGUAAAAGCUUACCAAGACGAUGAUCAGUAGCUGGUCUGAGAGGACGGUCAGCCACACUGGAAUUGAAAUACGGUCCAGACUUCUACGGAAGGCAGCAGUGGGGAAUAUUGGACAAUGAGGGAAACCUUGAUCCAGCAAUAUCGCGUGAGUGAAGAAGGCCUAUUGGUUGUAAAACUCUUUUGUUAAGGAUGAAAUAAUUUUAACUAAUAAUUAAAAUUUAUGACAGUACUUAAAGAAUAAGCACCGGCUAACUACGUGCCAGCAGCCGCGGUAAUACGUAGGGUGCAAGUGUUAAUCGGAAUUACUGGGCGUAAAGAGUGCGUAGAUGGUUAUAUAAGAUAUAUGUGAAAUCCCUAAACUUAAUUUAGGAACUGCAUAUAUUACUAUAAAACUAGAAUAUAUAAGAGAGGGGUAGAAUUUUACAAGUAGCAGUGAAAUGCGUAGAUAUGUAAAGGAAUACCAAUGGCGAAGGCAACCCCUUGGGAUAAUAUUGACAUUGAGGCACGAAAGCGUGGGGAGCAAACAGGAUUAGAUACCCUGGUAGUCCACGCCCUAAACUAUGUUUACUAAUUAUUAGAUUUUAAUUAAUUUAGUAAUAAAGCUAACGCGUUAAGUAAACCGCCUGGGGAGUACGAUCGCAAGAUUAAAACUCAAAGGAAUUGACGGGGACCCGCACAAGCGGUGGAUGAUGUGGAUUAAUUCGAUGCUACACGAAAAACCUUACCUACUCUUGACAUGCUUAGAAUUUUAAAGAAAUUUAAAAGUGCCGAAAGGAAUUAGGCGACAAGUGCUGCAUGGCUGUCGUCAGCUCGUGUCGUGAGAUGUUGGGUUAAGUCCCGCAACGAGCGCAACCCUUAUCAUUAAUUGCUAAUAUAUGAGUACUUUAAUGAGACUGCUAAUGAUAAAUUAGAGGAAGGAGAGGAUGACGUCAAGUCCUCAUGGCCUUUAUGAGUAGGGCUUCACACGUCAUACAAUGAAACAUACAAAAAGUUGCAAUUUCGUAAGAAUGAGCCAAUCUAUAAAGUGUUUCUCAGUACGGAUUGUAGUCUGCAACUCGACUACAUAAAGAAGGAAUCGCUAGUAAUCGCGGAUCAGCAUGCCGCGGUGAAUAUGUUCUCGGGUCUUGUACACACCGCCCGUCACACCAUGGAAGUAAAUUUAUCAGAAAUGGCUAAUUAACCGU